rnacentral:rRNA from 1 species
GACGAACGCUGGUGGCGUGCUUACACAUGCAAGUCGAACGGAAAGGCCCUGCUUUUGUGGGGUGCUCGAGUGGCGAACGGGUGAGUAACACGUGAGUAACCUGCCCUUGACUUUGGGAUAACUUCAGGAAACUGGGGCUAAUACCGGAUAGGAGCUCCUGCUGCAUGGUGGGGGUCGGAAAGUUUCGGCGGUUGGGGAUGGACUCGCGGCUUAUCAGCUUGUUGGUGGGGUAGUGGCUUACCAAGGCUUUGACGGGUAGCCGGCCUGAGAGGGUGACCGGCCACAUUGGGACUGAGAUACGGCCCAGACUCCUACGGGAGGCAGCAGUGGGGAAUAUUGCACAAUGGGCGGAAGCCUGAUGCAGCAACGCCGCGUGCGGGAUGACGGCCUUCGGGUUGUAAACCGCUUUCGCCUGUGACGAAGCGUGAGUGACGGUAAUGGGUAAAGAAGCACCGGCUAACUACGUGCCAGCAGCCGCGGUGAUACGUAGGGUGCGAGCGUUGUCCGGAUUUAUUGGGCGUAAAGGGCUCGUAGGUGGUUGAUCGCGUCGGAAGUGUAAUCUUGGGGCUUAACCCUGAGCGUGCUUUCGAUACGGGUUGACUUGAGGAAGGUAGGGGAGAAUGGAAUUCCUGGUGGAGCGGUGGAAUGCGCAGAUAUCAGGAGGAACACCAGUGGCGAAGGCGGUUCUCUGGGCCUUUCCUGACGCUGAGGAGCGAAAGCGUGGGGAGCGAACAGGCUUAGAUACCCUGGUAGUCCACGCUGUAAACGGUGGGUACUAGGUGUGGGGUCCAUUCCACGGGUUCCGUGCCGUAGCUAACGCUUUAAGUACCCCGCCUGGGGAGUACGGCCGCAAGGCUAAAACUCAAAGGAAUUGACGGGGCCCCGCACAAGCGGCGGAGCAUGCGGAUUAAUUCGAUGCAACGCGUAGAACCUUACCUGGGUUUGACAUGGAUCGGGAGUGCUCAGAGAUGGGUGUGCCUCUUUUGGGGUCGGUUCACAGGUGGUGCAUGCCUGUCGUCAGCUCGUGUCGUGAGAUGUUGGGUUAAGUCCCGCAACGAGCGCAACCCUUGUUCACUGUUGCCAGCACGUUAUGGUGGGGACUCAGUGGAGACCGCCGGGGUCAACUCGGAGGAAGGUGGGGAUGACGUCAAGUCAUCAUGCCCCUUAUGUCCAGGGCUUCACGCAUGCUACAAUGGCUGGUACAGAGAGUGGCGAGCCUGUGAGGGUGAGCGAAUCUCGGAAAGCCGGUCUCAGUUCGGAUUGGGGUCUGCAACUCGACCUCAUGAAGUCGGAGUCGCUAGUAAUCGCAGAUCAGCAACGCUGCGGUGAAUACGUUUCCCGGGGCU